CCUACGGGCGGCAUCAGUGGGGAAUAUUGCUCAAUGGGGGGAACCCUGAUGCAGCGACGCCGCGUGGGUGAAGGAGUAUUUCGGUAUGUAAAGCCCUAUCAGCAGGGAAGAACAAUGACGGUACCUGACUAAGAAGCACCUGCUAAAUACGUAACAGCAGCCGCGGUAAUACGUAUGGUGCAAGCGUUAUCCGGAUUUACUGGGGGUAAAGGGGGCGCAGGGGGGGCGUUAAGCCUGGUGGGAAAGCCCGCGGCCCAACCGCGGGACUGCAUUGGGAAAUGGCGGGCUGGAGUGCCGGAGGGGUAGGCGGAAUGCCUAGUGUAGCGGUGGAAUGCGUAGAUAUUAGGAGGAACACCAGUGGCGAAGGCGGCGUACUGGACGGUGAAUGACGCUGAGGCUCGAAAGCGUGGGGAGCAAACAGGAUUAGAUAACCCGUGUAGUC
rnacentral:rRNA from 1 species